rnacentral:lncRNA from 1 species
GUUCAUAGCCUCUUUUGUCUUCAAAUUCGUCCCUCCUCAUGCCUCCAUGCUUGCACAAUCCAAUCUUUGCCCAAAAAUGCUCUAGAAUGUUCCAAAUUGCUCAUUUUUGCAUACUUUGACAAUAAAACCUGAAAUUGCACGAAAUGACUUUAAACACUAAACUAACUAAGGAAAAAUAACAUAAAUGCAUGAGAACAAGCCAAUUAAGUCGCAUAAAAAUGCUCCUAUCAAAUUCCCCCACACUUAGCUUUUGCUAGUCCUCGAGCAAAACAAAGAAAACAUGAAAAAGUAAUAACAUGAAAAACAUUAGUUUCCCCCUAUGUGACCCUCAUAGAAUUUCAUUCAAGAAAACAAAUCAUCAAGAACCAUAGCUAGCACCAAACAAACUAAUCCAAGUUCAUCUUCCUUGUUCAAAUAUUAGCAGUAAUCUUUGAAUCAUCCUUGAAGUGUAGUGUGUGAGAUAGCCAUGCUAAUGCAAUUUCAAAAAAAAAUUUAUUUUUUAUUUUUAAAUCAUCAUAUGCAAACUAGCAACCUUCUCACGGGAUAUACACUCAAUCACACAUGUGUUUAGUUUUAAUGUGUUUCGCUCAAAGAAUCAAAUGUGAAAUUUCUACCAUAAGCUUGCAUAAAGAUCACUUCUCCACAGUCAUAAUUGCAAAACUUAAAUCAAGAGGACUUUUAUUGGAUGUAAUGAGGUUUAGGGAGAGGGUUAUUGAAAUGAAAGAAUAGGUAAACACAAGUUCCAAGCUACAUUGCAAGCAAUUCUUUUCUUUAGAUUUAUAAGAACUCAAUCUUUCCAAAGAUUCUUUUAGCACCUCUAACCACACCCUUAAACUGAAACUUGAACAACUUUUUAUUUUCUUUGUAUACAAUCCUUCUUUUUCUUUUCUUUUUUUCUUCUUUUUUUAUUUUUUAUUUUAUUUUUUAUUUUAUUUUUUAAUACAAACAUGAAAUACCCCCACACUUAUUCUUUUGCCAAACACCUUCAAAGUACUUCACAAACAUUUCUCAUAAGACAAUCUCACAUUGCUCACUAGCUUGCUUGGAAAGGGUAAGGAAAAAUGUUUCAGGUAUAAGGGUAGACAUAUCUGGUGAUAAGAAAUAAAAGGCUCAACAUACACGGCUCAAAUUGGCAAUCUAAUGAUAUCAUUUUU